GACCACAUUGGGACAUCCCAGAGGGGUCAAAGGAGCAAUCCGGUGAAGGGUGGGCUCGCGUCCGAUUAGAUAGUUGGUGAGGUAACGGCCCACCAAGUCGACGAUCGGUAGCCGACCUGAGAGGGUGAUCGGCCACAUUGGGACUGAGACACGGCCCAAACUCCUACGGGAGGCAGCAGUGGGGAAUAUUGGGCAAUGGGGGAAACCCUGACCCAGCAACGCCGCGUGAGGGAAGAAGGUUUUCGGAUCGUAAACCUCUGUCCUUGGUGAAGAGUGAGAGACGGUAGCCAAGGAGGAAGCCCCGGCUAACUACGUGCCAGCAGCCGCGGUAAUACGUAGGGGGCGAGCGUUGUCCGGAAUGAUUGGGCGUAAAGGGCGCGUAGGCGGCCCGGUAAGUCUGAAGUGAAAGUCCUGCUUUCAAGGUGGGAAUUGCUUUGGAUACUGUCGGGCUUGAGUGCAGGAGAGGUAAGUGGAAUUCCCAGUGUAGCGGUGAAAUGCGUAGAGAUUGGGAGGAACACCAGUGGCGAAGGCGACUUACUGGACUGUAACUGACGCUGAGGCGCGAAAGUGUGGGGAGCAA
rnacentral:rRNA from 1 species